rnacentral:rRNA from 1 species
UACGUAGGUGACAAGCGUUGUCCGGAUUUACUGGGCGUAAAGAGCGCGCAGGCGGUCGUUUAAGUCGAGUGUGAAAGCCCCCGGCUCAACUGGGGAGGGUCAUUCGAUACUGAUCGACUCGAAGGCAGGAGAGGGUAGUGGAAUUCCCGGUGUAGUGGUGAAAUGCGUAGAUAUCGGGAGGAACACCAGUGGCGAAGGCGACUACCUGGCCUGUUCUUGACGCUGAGGCGCGAAAGCUAGGGGAGCAAACGGG